UCCCUGGUGGCUUAGAUGGUAAAGUGUCCGUCUACAAUGCGGGAGACCUGGGUUUGAUCCCUGGGUCGGGAA
rfam:Ovis aries breed Texel chromosome 12, whole genome shotgun sequence.